rnacentral:misc_RNA from 1 species
UCUCCGUUGGUGAACCAGCGGAGGGAUCAUUACAGGACUCGCAAGACUCCUACAACCCUGUGAACUUAACUAUAAGCACGUUGCUUCGGCGGGUGUCUCGGGGGGGGUUCUCCCUCCCCGAGACGCUAAACCCGCCGGCAGCCUACUAUACUCUGUCUCUUUGCGUUGGCAUCUCGAGUACAAUCAAACAAGUUAAAACUUUCAACAACGGAUCUCUUGGUUCUG